AUACAGAAGAAGUAAAUCACAAAUCGAGGAUGUGCAUAUUAAACAACUAUUAACCUUGGGGAACUAAUCUAGGCGGCGGAUGAAUACAUGUGUAGAGCGGGACCACGAACGCAAGCACAGCCAAGCCAGAGGGAGAGAGACCGUCAUAAAGCGGCGUGAGGUACAAAUAAAUUUUUAAACCCAGGGACUACAAAUGUGGAUGAAGUGGAGUUAACACAAAUGAGAGGAAACGAACUGCAGCAUUGCUUGGUCUGCCCCACUACCUAUCAGAAGAUCCAGCAGAUGUCAUCAGGAUUUGUGAUGCUCAUGGUGAGACAUUGGAUGUGGCUAUGAAGGGGAUGCAAGUUGGCCUCCUGAUAGGCCAUGAAGGUGCUCUACAGGAUGCCUUUCCUCGGGAUAUCUUCAGUGUGGCAGUUGUGGUGGAGGAGACCAUUGUACUACACAACCUCAAAGAUGUGGCAUGCAGCUUUGCCAUGCUUAUGGGCAUCAUAUAUUGUGUGAAUCUUGAAUAUCCACAAGCUAUGAAGUAUUCCUUUGAGUUUUUGCAGCGAGUGGUGAUGAAGGUCCAACCAGACCAAGCUUCUGCACGAAUACACGGGCUGAGAAACAAACUGUUAAGGUACAAACUGUAAAGUCUCUGGAGCAUUUUUGCACCUGAAAGUCUGGACCAAAGCCUGGACCAAGGUUCAUAUUUUUGUUGGAUUGUGUACAUUUAGUCGGUUGGUUGAAGUCUCUGGCCAUUUGGAGCGUUUUUGCACCUGAAAGUCUGGACCAAAGUUCAUAGGAUUGUGCAAAUUUAGUCGGUUGGUUGGUUUUACGUUGCAGUUUACUUGCACACAGAAUGACUUUGAUGCAAUUUGUCAUCAUCUACGUGGGCUGUUCCGUCCUAUACUUGACAUUGAUGGGUUUGUAGAAUGUUGUUAUUCCAUGAGUUGCCUUUCCAAGCCCACACUUGCCAUAAUUCAACUCCCUUUAUGUGCAGGUGUGUCCCUCAGCAGAAUGAGCCUAACAAAUUCCUUGGAUUUGUUUUCUUUAUUUCUGUUAGUAAAUAAGGGUUAAUAUUUUAUUUCUGUGAAUUGAAUUACAGUAGAUACAGGAGGCUCGAUUGUAGGUGUUUGUGACCGUACUGCUGUGUGACAUGCUUGCACAUGAGGGAGAACUGAAUGUCAGCACAACACAGCUUCUUUUUCAUGUUUUCUAUUGUUACAGUUUAAAACAAACCUGCACUCACACAGGAAAUUAAGACUAUUUCAUUUGUCGCUGUUGACAUGUAUUAGGCCAUACAUAAAAUUUGAUCAAUUAUUCUGGCAUACAUGCGUAUCUUUUAUACAUGUGUGUUCAAGUACUUUUGUACCAUUAUACAUGAACUGUUUUUGUGUUGUGAUUUUCUAGUUCUUUAUUGUAUAUUCAAUGUUUAAUCCAAGAAAAUAAAAAUGAGAUAUUGC